GUGUCAGCAGCCGCGGUAAUACGGAGGAUGCGAGCGUUAUCCGGAUUCAUUGGGUUUAAAGGGUGCGUAGGCGGACUGAUAAGUCAGUGGUGAAAACCUGCAGCUUAACUGUAGAACUGCCAUUGAUACUGUCGGACUUGAGUAUGGUCAAGGUAGGCGGAAUGUGUAAUGUAGCGGUGAAAUGCUUAGAUAUUACACAGAACACCGAUUGCGAAGGCAGCUUGCUGGGCCAUUACUGACGCUGAUGCACGAAAGCGUGGGGAGCGAACAGGAUUAGAUACCCUGGUAGUCCACGCCGUAAACGAUGAUCACUCGCUGUUGGCGAUAUACAGUCAGCGGCUAAGCAAAAGCAUUAAGUGAUCCACCUGGGGAGUACGGCCGCAAGGCUGAAACUCAAAUGAAUUGACGGGG
rnacentral:rRNA from 1 species